rnacentral:rRNA from 1 species
GAUGAACGCUGGCGGCGUGCCUAAUACAUGCAAGUCGAGCGGACGGACGAGAAUCUUUCUUCUCUGCUGUUAGCGACGGACGGGUGAUUAACACGUGUAUAACCUACCGAUAAGACUGGGGUAACGUCGGGAAACCGUAGAUAAUACCGGAUAAGAUUUUGAACCUCAUGGUUCAUAAGUGCAAGAGGGUCUUGCUGACCCUUAUACAUGGUACCUGGCUGCAUUAGCUAGUUGGUAAGGUAACGGCUUACCAAGGCAACGAUGCAUAGCCGACCUGAGAGGAUGAUCGGCCACACUGGAACUGAGACACGGUCCAGACUCCUACGGGAGGCAGCAGUAGGGAAUCUUGCGCAAUGGGCGAAAGCCUGACGGAGCAACGCCGCGUGAGUGAUGAAGGUCUUCGGAUCGUAAAACUCUGUUAGUAGGGAAGAACAUAUGUGUAAGUAACUGUGCACAUCUUGACGGUACCUAAUCAGAAAGCCACGGCUAACUACGUG